UCGAGCGUCAUUACAACCCUCAAGCUCUGCUUGGUAUUGGACCUUCGCCUUCCCGGCGGGUCUCAAAAUCAGUGGCGGUGUCAUCUGACUCUAAGCGUAGUAAAUUCUCUCGCUCUGGAGCUUCGGUUGAUUACUUGCCAUCGAACCCCAAAUUUUUAAAGGUUGACCUCGGAUCAGGUAGGGAUACCCGCUGAACUUAA
rnacentral:misc_RNA from 1 species